GGGAAAAAGCUCUGUGGUAAAGCAUUCGACUGCUGUUCGAGAGGUCUUCGGUUCAAACCCGGUGUUUUCUUCCG